AUUGAACGCUGGCGGCAGGCCUAACACAUGCAAGUCGAACGGCAGCGGGGGAUAGCUUGCUAUCCUGCCGGCGAGUGGCGGACGGGUGAGUAAUGCAUGGGGAGCUGCCCAGUCGAGGGGGAUAACAACUGGAAACGGUUGCUAAUACCGCAUACGCCCUAAGGGGGAAAGGUGGGGAACUUCGGUCCUACCGCGAUUGGAUGCGCCCAUGUGGGAUUAGCUAGUUGGUGAGGUAACGGCUCACCAAGGCGACGAUCUCUAGCUGGUCUGAGAGGAUGACCAGCCACCCUGGAACUGAGACACGGUCCAGACUCCUACGGGAGGCAGCAGUGGGGAAUAUUGCACAGUGGGGGAAACCCUGAUGCAGCCAUGCCGCGUGUGUGAAGAAGGCCUUCGGGUUGUAAAGCACUUUCAGUCAGGAGGAAGGGGUGAUGGCUAAUAUCCAUCAUCAUUGACGUUACUGACAGAAGAAGCACCGGCUAACUCCGUGACAGCAGCCGCCGUAA
rnacentral:rRNA from 1 species